UUUCCAUUUUAGAUGCCAUGAAAUGGGAUGACCUGAGAGUAACUUGGGGCAUGCGCAACUGGAGAACAAGUGCGUUCGCCCAGAUGCCGCUGACGGCCAAGCAGGCAAAAGAGGUCGGAUUCGUGCAACUGAACAACCAGUGCGCAGGUACAUUUUAUGGAUUUCGGUUCAUGAAAGACAAUGAUCCUUCGGUGGUGCUUUUGUACGACGUGAAUGGCGUCAUUGCUGGAUUGCAGUCAGGG